rnacentral:lncRNA from 1 species
CAAGCUCGAGGAAAAGAUUUAAACUAGCGUGUUUCGUAUUGUUUCAUUAACGAUUGUACAAAUGUAUCGCGAUUCCAAUAAUUCCUGCGGUCGCACCUCGGAAAAACGCACAAGUGCCAAAUCAUCAAAUCCAAGAGCAGACGACGUACGCAGCAGUUACCCUCUCGCAGCUUUGAAACCGUGUUUCGUCGUUAAAUGGUUACUUUUUCUGCCAAAACGAAGAAAAAUACUCAUCUCUCAAGAGUCGCACUGUUGUCGCCGCUGCCAUUGCAUCAUCUUUGGUUUCGCAUAAACGGACAAACUAUUUUAUCCCUGUUGCGCGAUAUCGUAAAUACAUCAACGAGUCUCCCAAAAACAUAACAAGAUCUUUAUAUGCUAAGAUUAACAAUGUCUUAUUAUUUCUUGCUUAAAAAUCGACGCAUUCAUGCUACCAACUUUGAAAAAUAUCAAUUUAUUUUGAAACCAUUCAAAACGUUUAAAAUCUAACAGCUUUACUUUAUCAUUUACAAAAAACUUUUUUUAGAAAGAUCUUAGUAAAUACUUAAACAUAUAAAGCCAGCUUCUUUUUUAACGAUUGUCCGUUUUUGUGGUCCACAGUUUUAACAACUGUUUAGCCUUCCGCUAAGAAACAUGUUAUUCGCAAUUAGCUGUUUAUAUGUUUGCUAUUAUAAAAUACAAGAAUUUAUUUGUAUUUACGUAAUUUAUCAUGUAUGUAUAUAUAUGUGUGUGUGGGGGUGUGUGUGUGUGUUCAAUGACAUUACAGUUUAGAAAUGUCAUGAAAAUUUUAUCAAAAUUUACAAGUAUAAUAAAACGAUCAAAAUAAGAUUGUUUUAUAGGGAUUUAGCAGAGCGACUUAAUAGAAAUUUAAUCUGUUUUAAAUAAAAUUGUCUACGACGAUAUCAAUUUAUAAUCAGUUCAAUAUCAAUUAUUAAUUAUUUAUUUUUAUUAAAUUGUCACCUGUUUAUUGAAAAUAAAACUUGUUUGAUAACAAUUAACUUUCAACAGGUACAAGUCUUUCUUAUUUCCAUAAAUCCAACUACAAUGAGAUUGAAAAUGAGACUAAAUCAUCACAGAACGCUUCCGCGAUUAUCGUUUAUCCCUAACGAUUAUCGUAGUCCCCACUUACAUUUAUGAUUGCUUCAAAAUAAACGCUUAUAGAGUUAGUUGGAUUUUUGGUAAGUAAACAUUUUAAUAAUUGAAUGUAUAAACACGUUUCGUUUAUUUCGAUAUUUGUUUAAUAUAAGAGCCUGUACAUAUAUGUCUUAAUUUAAAUAAUAACUUCUUCAAAAAUUAUAGAAUGAGAAAUUGUUAGAACAUUUCAAAAUUUAUAUAUACAAGGUAACUUAUUUUAAAAAUAUAUUUAAAUACUAAAAAAACAGCGUUUCACAAUAAAUGUUUAAAUCGUUAACACAGCUUCUCACCUCCAAACGUCACCAAACGGAAGUAUAAACACAGGGAUUUUCUACUCUCAAUUCAUAGCGUUAAGAUUUUGUGAGCGUUUCGAAGCAUAUUUUUGUGAUUGUAAUUCGAACUUAGAAUAUUUUCGUGUGAUCAGCAUACUGACUUAAAAUAUCUUCGUGUGAUUGUUAACUGAAUUUGGAAUGAUUCCACAUUUAAGUGAACCAAACUUCCGAUUAAUUAUUAAUAGAUUAUUAUACAUCUUCAUUUUGUUCUUUUUUGUAAAUUAGAUUCCGCUUGCGAUUCCGAGACGAGUGCAAUUAUUUUAUCGUGUGCGAGCUGACUCUCAACUUAAGGUGCGAAUUUCGAUUCGAGUUAAUAUUAAUAAAUUAAAGAUUCUAGCAUAAAGUUAGUUUUCGUUUCUUGUUUGUAUAGUAAUUAUCCCGCGCGUGAAGUUGGUGAACGACGAGUGUCUUGCAUCCUCCAUUUCUUCAAUACCGUCCUUACAAAAGGCUAGCGUGGCAACGUCACGUGGCAGUGGUUUGGGGUAACAAUUGGAAAGAAUUAUUAAAAAUAGAGGAAGAAGAUUCAUUCGUCACAGAAUCUUAUUACGAACAAUUCAACAAAGGCACUCAUUUUUAUUGAUAAAACGUUAUCAAAUUUAAUAUUAAAUAAUUUAAAUGACAAGUUAAUAAUUUUUGUUAAUGGAACUUUCGCUACAGUUCCUCAACUAAAAAAUUCGAAUUGUCAGUUAUGGACAACUGUCAUAAGACAUAAUAAUAAAACAUUUCCAAUAGUGUACAUUAUUGUGGAAGGACACACAACGCAAAACUAUAUCAACGUGUUAAAAAAAAUAAAAAAUAUUUUUAAAAUAAAUCCUGACAUUGCAAUGUCAGACUUUGAAAACGCCGAACAAAAAAAAAGCCUUACGUACGGUUUUCUCCAACAUUAAAAUUAUUGGCUGCUACUUCCUUAUUACAGCCAGGCGUUAGUACACAAUACUGAAAAACACGGAAUAUUAAAAAAUGAUAAAAAUGGAGUAGGUUGGGGUGCGACAAAAUUAUUGAUAUCGUUAGUCUUUUUACUAGAAAAAUUAAUAGUAGAAGGUUUCAAUCUAAUAUUAGGAAUUAUUUUUCAAGAUUGCACGUAUUUGCAGUUUUUCCAAUAUUAUAAAGAUACGUGGAUAAACAUUUUAAGCCUGAUUAUUUUUCGGUUUUCGAACAAAUACACCGAACCAAUAACGUAUCUGAAAGACACAACCGAGAACUUCAGUUAAAUCUGAAAAAACACACAACAAUUGCUGAAUUUUUAGGUAAAUUAAACGCCAUAUCUCGUAAAAUUUUUUCCAUACCAUCUUUUCCAUACCAUAUUAAUUAUUCUUAAAAUGAAAUAUUAUUUACUGUUGCGGAAUGCGCGAGGGAGCCUCGCGAGUGCGGCCGCGAGGCUGCGGCAUGUAUCGAUCACGACAUCCAAUCGCGAUCCGCGGGAUUCGCUCCACGCGUAGCGUGCGUGAAUGCGAGCAACCGCUUGCUUUCUGAAACCAGGAAAACAAAGUAAAGGAUCCCUCCCAUUGUCAUCACGCGGCGAAAAAUGUUGUGACGUACGCAGCCCUAAUUGGGCAGGAAGGAUCUUACGAUCCUUCUAAAUCGCGAACACCGCCGCGCACCCAUUUUUCCGCAGCAGAGCGUUUUCGAACGGAAACCGCAGCAGUCAUCCCUCCGUGUCUCGCGGAUUUCUCUUGUUCGGUAAAUCGCGCUACACCGAAUAUCCGUGCUCCGAGUUUCCGCAGUUCAUUGGAUUCGGCUCGCGAGUCUCGCUCCGCCGAUUCCAUAAUCAAGUAACCAACAAUCUUUUGGAGCCCUCCGCUCCGCUCCUUUAGGGUAUUUUACAUUUCGUGCCUAAGCUCGGAUUGCGAGUGUCACUCCACCGCAGUUUUCUCCAAGGACAAAACGACCAGCUCGAGACGCAAGUUUCUUCCGCCGAAGUCUAUACGAAUCAUAAGAGACGAAGGAAGAAGCGAUAAUUGUCAUUCGCGAGCGAUCAAAAUACGAUAGUGGCAAUCUCGCAGUGUCACGAGUGAUUGUUACGAUAAACGAGCGUUCAGUUCAGAAUAAAACUUAUUGCUGCAUUUCAAGUUCAUCUGAGAA